UCUUGCUUUACAGGCUAGUGUCAAGGCUUUGUGUAGAUGAAAUUAUCUACAAAAAUAUCUGUUUGUAUUAAGCUGGACCUUAAUAGGAAAAAAAUGAAAUCCCUGCUGAGCAACAAGGAAAUUUGCGAGAAGCAUUAACAACCAUGGAUCUUCCAAUUGUGAAAUGAACGAGUCAACAGCUACAAUGUGUAAAGCAGUCUGCUGAGCAGCUUUCAACAUCCUUUGUUGAAAAAUAUAAUCAGGGGUAAAUGAAAUAUAAAAUCAAACAUAAAAGAAGAAUAUUUCUAGUCAGAAUGGAAUCUCCUUUGUACAGUAGAAGAGUUGGCAAGCUGCUAGCAUAUAUUAAACUUCAUCCUCUCAGCAAGCAGAAAGCACAGUUGCCAAAGAAACUAGACACUUUCUAAGAGGAGGAAAGACAUCUAAUGUUUGACAGAAUUAUAUCUUUGGCAUCUUUCCAAACAUAAAGCUGCAGCUGUACCAGAAGAUCAAGUCAGAAGAUGGAAGAAGAGUCCUGGGGCAUGGGGAAGACCCUGUUUAGUGCAGUAAUAUGGAGUACUCUACCUUCUGACUUCAGCUGGAGAAUUUAAUCUAUCCACAAAUCAAAUGAAGCACAUGGAAAGCAGCACUACAAGCAUCUUUCUACUAUCUCAACUACAUGCCUCUGCUAUGACUUUGAGAAAUUACAGCUAGGAAAGGGAAAACAUACACCCUCCUGGACCACUUAAUCUUCUGUCUCUCCACCCUGUGAUUAGUAAAA